CCUCUAUAGGAAAGCAGCAAUCCAUUGGUUU
rnacentral:tRNA from 3 species